rnacentral:rRNA from 1 species
UACAGAGGGUGCAAGCGUUAAUCGGAAUUACUGGGCGUAAAGCGUGCGUAGACGGUUAUGUAAGUCAGAUGUGAAAGCCCCGGGCUUAACCUGGGAAUGGCAUUUGAGACUGCAUAGCUAGGGUGCGGAAGAGGGAAGCGGAAGUUUCCGGUGUAGCGGUGAAAUGCGUAGAUAUCGGAAGGAACACCAGUGGCGAAAGCGGCUUCCUGGUCCAGCACCGACGUCAGGCACGAAAGCGUGGGGAGCAAACAGGA